UCCGGUUUGGCACCGGCAGUCCCCCGAGAGUCCUCAGCGCCUUGCGGCCUGUUAGCAACACGGGGCGGGGGUUGCGCUCGUUGCGGGACUUAACCCAACAACUCACGACACGAGCUGACGACAGCCAUGCACCACCUGUGAAGAUGCCCCGAAGGGAAGGCCUGUUUCCAGGCCGGUCAUCCACAUGUCAAGCCCAGGUAAGGUUCUUCGCGUCGCGUCGAAUUAAACCACAUGCUCCGCUGUUUGUGCGGGCCCCCGUCAAUUCCUUUGAGUUUUAGCCUUGCGGCCGUACUCCCCAGGCGGGGCACUUAAUGCGUUAGCUGCGGUACUAAGGAAGUCUCCUUCCCCAACACCUAGUCGACAUCGUUUAGGGCGUGGACUAC
rnacentral:misc_RNA from 1 species